GAAAGGCGGGCUAAUACCGGAUAAUAUCUAAAAAACCUCGGUUUUAUAGAUCAAAGGUGGCCUCUACAUGUAAGCUUCUGUUUGAGGAUGAGCCCCCCUACCAUUAGCUUGUUGGUAGGGUAAUGGCCUACCAAGGCUACGAUGGUUAGCUGGUCUGAGAGGAUGAUCAGCCACACUGGAACUGACACACGGUCCAGACUCCUACGGGAGGCAGCAGUGAGGAAUCUUGCGCAAUGGGGGAAACCCUGACGCAGCAACGCCGCGUGAGUGAUGAAGGCUAUCGGGUCGUAAAGCUCUGUCAAGUGGGAAGAACCCACAUGGUGUUAAUACCGCCAUGUGCUGACGGUACCACUGAAGGAAGCACCGGCUAACUCCGUGCCAGCAGCCGCGGUAAUACGGGGGGUGCAAGCGUUAUUCGGAAUUACUGGGCGUAAAGAGCGCGUAGGCGGUCUCUUAAGUCAGGUGUGAAAGCCCGGGGCUCAACCCCGGAAGUGCACUUGAAACUAAGGGACUUGAGUAUGGGAGAGGGAAGUGGAAUUCCUGGUGCCGCGGUGAAAUGCGUAGAUAUCAGGAGGAACAUCGGUGGCGAAGGCGACUUCCUGGACCAAUACUGACGCUGAGGCGCGAAGGCGUGGGGAGC
rnacentral:rRNA from 1 species